AUGUGGAAGCAGAGUUAUUCAAAUGAGGCUACGAAGAACCACAGACUGGAUUGUUCUUGUGAAUAAUUCGAGUACAGGUUGAACGGGCGAUUGGAAGAAUGAACAUGUCACAUGGCAAGUGUCAUGCGUGUGGGGACAAUGGUUAUUUUGUUGAAUGCAAAGACGUAAAAUCUGACACCGAGCCUGUGAAAGUGGUGCACGAAGAAGUAAUAGGUUUAAUAACAACUAGUGAGGACCCAGAAUUAUCCAAGGUGAGGCGUCGAGGGUGGUACUUGGCUUCUAGAUGCACGGUGCACGUUUGCAACUCAAGGGACAUGUUUGUGGACUACCAUCCAUGGACUGGUCAUGAGGUGGUUUUGGACAACAAUGAGCAUGUUAAUGUGGAAGGGAUUGGUUCGGUGGUGCUCCGAUUCACCACUGGUAAGAUUUUGACUCUUUCAAAUGUUUUUCACAUCCCCGCAAUC
rnacentral:lncRNA from 1 species